AUUGCCUCAGUAACGGCGAGUGAAGCGGCAAGAGCUCAAAUUUGAAAUCUGGCUCCUUCGGGGCCCGAGUUGUAAUUUGGAGAGGAUGCUUCGGGCGUGGCCCCCAUCUAAGUGCCCUGGAACGGGCCGUCAUAGAGGGUGAGAAUCCCGUCUGGGAUGGGUGGUCCCGCCCGUGUGAAGCUCCUUCGAAGAGUCGAGUUGUUUGGGAAUGCAGCUCUAAGAGGGUGGUAAAUUUCAUCUAAAGCUAAAUAUUGGCCGGAGACCGAUAGCGCACAAGUAGAGUGAUCGAAAGAUGAAAAGCACUUUGAAAAGAGAGUUAAACAGCACGUGAAAUUGUUGAAAGGGAAGCGUUGGCAACCAGACUCGCCCGGGAGGGCUCAGCCGGCACGUGUGCCGGUGCACUCCCCCCCGGGCGGGCCAGCGUCGGUUUGGGCGGUCGGUCAAAGGCCCCGGGAAUGUAGCACCCUCCGGGGUGCCUUAUAGCCCGAGGCGCCAUGCGACCUGCCCAGACCGAGGAACGCGCUCCGGCACGGACGCUGGCGUAAUGGUUGUCAACGGCCCGUCUUGAAACACGGACCAAGGAGUCUAACAUCUAUGCGAGUGUUCGGGUGUCAAACCCGUCCGCGCAGUGAAAGCGAACGGAGGUGGGAACCCUCUCGGGGGCGCACCAUCGACCGAUCCUGAUGUCUUCGGAUGGAUUUGAGUAAGAGCAUAGCUGUUGGGACCCGAAAGAUGGUGAACUAUGCCUGAAUAGGGCGAAGCCAGAGGAAACUCUGGUGGAGGCUCGCAGCGGUUCUGACGUGCAAAUCGAUCGUCAAAUUUGGGUAUA
rnacentral:rRNA from 1 species